rnacentral:siRNA from 1 species
UUGGGUAAUUUGCGCGCCUGC